GGAAGGACACCCGCGCUGCGUGUGCUGUGGCGUGUGCCUCCUAGUUUAAGGUAGGAGUUGGGCUGAGGAGAGACAGAGCCAGCCAGUCAGAUUCAGGAAGUUGCGUUCCUGACCUCAGUAGCAGAGCUGGGUGCGGUGAAACCUCAGCCAGGGACGCAGGGGGCGCUUUCCUCCACAUCACACUGGUGGCACCCACUGACCGGCAGCGCCGCCUCUCUCCCGGGACCUGGCAGUGGGAGGGAGAGGCAGGAGCAGGGACCCAGACCUCACCCUUGUGCCCAAGUCACUUCAGAGCACCGGAACAGAGCCAGCGGUCCCGCCGGCGGGAAGCCUUCCAACGGACCCAAAGAGGUGUGAGGUUAAUCCUUAUUGCUGAAGACACCAUUCACUUCAGACACAGAAGCCAGAAGCUCCUGAGCUGGAUCUGGACUGAAAGAUUCCUCCCGGAGGAAGCCUCAAGCACAGCCACAAAGAAUGAUCGGCACCUAUUGUUUAGGAGACUCGAUGAAGGACAUUUCUGUGUCAGUGAUACUUGAAAGCAACAAAAGGAUAAGGUCUUCCCAGAGUACAUUCAGCCCACCCCAUGUGACUUCUUUUGCGUACUAUCCCAUGGAAGCCCUAACUUUUCAUUCAUACCACUAAGGAGAUAUUUGAUUGUUUCCUGGAAAUGCUAAUAACACAAAGCUCAUAAAUACUAAUGAAACGCUAUAGAUUAGCGGAGCUCAGCAAGUAACCUAGGGAGCCUAGACAAGAAUUCGUAGAUUAAAAAAUAUAAAGAAUACUUUUUAAUCGAAUUUCCCCCAGACUCGGUUCCCAAAUGUUAAUGAGUACUCUCUCUGGCUGUGUAGAGAGCUGACUCUAAUAAGUACCUUUAAGAAUGCAGAAGUGAAUUAUUGACUUAGUUUUAGUUGAAAAAAAUCUAUUUAUUCAAAGGCUAUUUUAGGUGCCUUGGGAUGGACGUGUUUAAGACAAAGGUGGGAGAGUAGGGGAGCCUGGGACGUUGUGAUAAACACAUAAUUCAAAUGCAUGCCUCUAUUUCAGCCAACUAAGCAAUCUAAGUUGGAAUGUGCUUAUUAUAUUUGUCUUUUAUGACACAACCUUCAAUAAUAAUAAUUGCCCUGGACUCUAAAAGCUGGUGUCAGAAAUUAUAACUUUAUUAUUCAUUGCUGAAUCCCCUAUGCCCCGCACAGACUCUGGCACAAAUCAUAUGUCCAAUAAAUGUUUGUUAAAUGGAUAAAAGACUUUCUUACAAUAUUUUCCAGAGCUUUUGAGAUCUGUGAUCUUUUCCUAAAUGUCAGCUCGGUUCAUGGUGACUGUUACAAAGCUCCCAUGUAAGACCCAUCUCCACCCCAGCCACCAGUCUUCCAGACUCUUCCUCUCCCACCCUGAGCUUCAAGUUCAUUGGAAGGUACCAUGUUGCCCCAUUCCUGUCCUAGAUAUUGUUCUGCAUGAGAUAUUUAAAUAUCAUUUUUCCUCAAAGUUCUCUAUCAAAGGCCUAUUUCUCUUUAAAGGAAUGGCCAAAAGCUGCCCUAAGAGUCUCCAGGAGCUCAGUCUCCUUCCUCCCCCUGAUGCCCUUCUCCUGCCUGCAAAGCCCACCUAAUGUAGAACAGUGUGGUGUUCGUAUCACUGAAUGUGAAGCCCAGGUACGGUGUCAGGAGCCCUUUGUCCCAAUAUGGCUAUGUGGGUGAUCAAGUGAGAGGACGCCACCUGAAUCUUCCCACAGCAGAAUGGGAAACUUGCUCCAAGUGAACCACAAAUACAUAAGACUGAGGCAAAGCAAGGGGUCAUGGCUAGAAAGUUGGGAAAUUC
rnacentral:sRNA from 1 species